ACCUAGUCCUAACCCCCAACCAGACCUGCAGCAACACAAGGUAACCUUAACCCCUAGUCCUAACCACUAACUCUAAUCCCCAACCAGACCUGCAGCAACACAAGGUAACCUUAACCCCUAGUCUUAACCACUAACUCUAAUCCCCAACCAGACCUGCAGCAACACAAGGUAACCUUAACCCCUAGUCCUAACCCCCAACCAGACCUGCAGCAACACAAGGUAACCUUAACACCUAGUCCUAACCCCUAGUCCUAACCCCCAACCAGACCUGCAGCAACACAAGGUAACCUUAACCCCUAGUCCUAACCCCCAACCAGACCUGCAGCAAUACAAGGUAACCUUAACCCCUAGUCCUAACCCCCAACCAGACCUGCAGCAACACAAGGUAACCUUAACCCCUAGUCCUAACCCCCAACCAGACCUGCAGCAACACAAGGUAACCUUAACCCCUAGUCUUAACCACUAACUCUAAUCCCCAACCAGACCUGCAGCAACACAAGGUAACCUUAACCCCUAGUCUUAACCACUAACUCUAAUCCCCAACCAGACCUGCAGCAACACAAGGUAACCUUAACACCUAGUCCUAACCCCCAACCAGACCUGCAGCAAUACAAGGUAACCUUAACCCCUAGUCUUAACCACUAACUCUAAUCCCCAACCAGACCUGCAGCAACACAAGGUAACCUUAACCCCUAGUCUUAACCACUAACUCUAAUCCCCAACCAGACCUGCAGCAACACAAGGUAACCUUAACCCCUAGUCCUAACCCCCAACCAGACCUGCAGCAAUACAAGGUAACCUUAACCCCUAGUCUUAACCACUAACUCUAAUCCCCAACCAGACCUGCAGCAACACAAGGUAACCUUAACCCCUAGUCUUAACCACUAACUCUAACCCCCAACCAGACCUGCAGCAACACAAGGUAACCUUAACCCCUAGUCUUAACCACUAACUCUAAUCCCCAACCAGACCUGCAGCAACACAAGGUAACCUUAACACCUAGUCCUAACCCCUAGUCCUAACCCCCAACCAGACCUGCAGCAACACAAGGUAACCUUAACACCUAGUCCUAACCCCUAGUCCUAACCCCCAACCAGACCUGCAGCAAUACAAGGUAACCUUAACCCCUAGUCUUAACCACUAACUCUAAUCCCCAACCAGACCUGCAGCAACACAAGGUAACCUUAACCCCUAGUCCUAACCCCCAACCAGACCUGCAGCAACACAAGGUAACCUUAACCCCUAGUCCUAACCCCCAACCAGACCUGCAGCAACACAAGGUAACCUUAACCCCUAGUCCUAACCACUAACUCUAAUCCCCAACCAGACCUGCAGCAACACAAGGUAACCUUAACCCCUAGUCUUAACCACUAACUCUAAUCCCCAACCAGACCUGCAGCAACACAAGGUAACCUUAACCCCUAGUCCUAACCACUAACUCUAAUCCCCAACCAGACCUGCAGCAACACAAGGUAACCUUAACCCCUAGUCUUAACCACUAACUCUAAUCCCCAACCAGACCUGCAGCAACACAAGGUAACCUUAACCCCUAGUCCUAACCCCCAACCAGACCUGCAGCAACACAAGGUAACCUUAACCCCUAGUCUUAACCACUAACUCUAAUCCCCAACCAGACCUGCAGCAACACAAGGUAACCUUAACACCUAGUCCUAACCCCCAACCAGACCUGCAGCAACACAAGGUAACCUUAACACCUAGUCCUAACCCCUAGUCCUAACCCCCAACCAGACCUGCAGCAACACAAGGUAACCUUAACACCUAGUCCUAACCCCCAACCAGACCUGCAGCAACACAAGGUAACCUUAACACGUAGUCCUAACCCCUAGUCCUAACCCCCAACCAGACCUGCAGCAACACAAGGUAACCUUAACCCCUAGUCCUAACCCCCAACCAGACCUGCAGCAACACAAGGUAACCUUAACCCCUAGUCUUAACCACUAACUCUAAUCCCCAACCAGACCUGCAGCAACACAAGGUAACCUUAACCCCUAGUCCUAACCCCCAACCAGACCUGCAGCAACACAAGGUAACCUUAACCCCUAGUCCUAACCCCCAACCAGACCUGCAGCAACACAAGGUAACCUUAACCCCUAGUCCUAACCACUAACUCUAAUCCCCAACCAGACCUGCAGCAACACAAGGUAACCUUAACCCCUAGUCUUAACCACUAACUCUAAUCCCCAACCAGACCUGCAGCAACACAAGGUAACCUUAACCCCUAGUCCUAACCACUAACUCUAACCCCCAACCAGACCUGCAGCAACACAAGGUAACCUUAACCCCUAGUCCUAACCCCCAACCAGACCUGCAGCAACACAAGGUAACCUUAACCCCUAGUCCUAACCACUAACUCUAAUCCCCAACCAGACCUGCAGCAACACAAGGUAACCUUAACCCCUAGUCCUAACCCCCAACCAGACCUGCAGCAACACAAGGUAACCUUAACCCCUAGUCUUAACCACUAACUCUAAUCCCCAACCAGACCUGCAGCAACACAAGGUAACCUUAACACCUAGUCCUAACCCCCAACCAGACCUGCAGCAACACAAGGUAACCUUAACACCUAGUCCUAACCCCUAGUCCUAACCCCCAACCAGACCUGCAGCAACACAAGGUAACCUUAACACCUAGUCCUAACCCCCAACCAGACCUGCAGCAACACAAGGUAACCUUAACACGUAGUCCUAACCCCUAGUCCUAACCCCCAACCAGACCUGCAGCAACACAAGGUAACCUUAACCCCUAGUCCUAACCCCCAACCAGACCUGCAGCAACACAAGGUAACCUUAACCCCUAGUCUUAACCACUAACUCUAAUCCCCAACCAGACCUGCAGCAACACAAGGUAACCUUAACCCCUAGUCCUAACCCCCAACCAGACCUGCAGCAACACAAGGUAACCUUAACCCCUAGUCCUAACCCCCAACCAGACCUGCAGCAACACAAGGUAACCUUAACCCCUAGUCCUAACCACUAACUCUAAUCCCCAACCAGACCUGCAGCAACACAAGGUAACCUUAACCCCUAGUCUUAACCACUAACUCUAAUCCCCAACCAGACCUGCAGCAACACAAGGUAACCUUAACCCCUAGUCCUAACCACUAACUCUAACCCCCAACCAGACCUGCAGCAACACAAGGUAACCUUAACCCCUAGUCCUAACCCCCAACCAGACCUGCAGCAACACAAGGUAACCUUAACCCCUAGUCUUAACCACUAACUCUAAUCCCCAACCAGACCUGCAGCAACACAAGGUAACCUUAACACCUAGUCCUAACCCCCAACCAGACCUGCAGCAACACAAGGUAACCUUAACACCUAGUCCUAACCCCUAGUCCUAACCCCCAACCAGACCUGCAGCAACACAAGGUAACCUUAACACCUAGUCCUAACCCCCAACCAGACCUGCAGCAACACAAGGUAACCUUAACACGUAGUCCUAACCCCUAGUCCUAACCCCCAACCAGACCUGCAGCAACACAAGGUAACCUUAACCCCUAGUCCUAACCCCCAACCAGACCUGCAGCAACACAAGGUAACCUUAACCCCUAGUCCUAACCACUAACUCUAAUCCCCAACCAGACCUGCAGCAACACAAGGUAACCUUAACCCCUAGUCCUAACCCCCAACCAGACCUGCAGCAAUACAAGGUAACCUUAACCCCUAGUCUUAACCACUAACUCUAAUCCCCAACCAGACCUGCAGCAACACAAGGUAACCUUAACCCCUAGUCUUAACCACUAACUCUAACCCCCAACCAGACCUGCAGCAACACAAGGUAACCUUAACCCCUAGUCCUAACCCCCAACCAGACCUGCAGCAACACAAGGUAACCUUAACCCCUAGUCCUAACCACUAACUCUAAUCCCCAACCAGACCUGCAGCAACACAAGGUAACCUUAACCCCUAGUCCUAACCCCCAACCAGACCUGCAGCAACACAAGGUAACCUUAACCCCUAGUCCUAACCCCCAACCAGACCUGCAGCAACACAAGGUAACCUUAACCCCUAGUCCUAACCACUAACUCUAAUCCCCAACCAGACCUGCAGCAACACAAGGUAACCUUAACCCCUAGUCUUAACCACUAACUCUAAUCCCCAACCAGACCUGCAGCAACACAAGGUAACCUUAACCCCUAGUCCUAACCACUAACUCUAACCCCCAACCAGACCUGCAGCAACACAAGGUAACCUUAACCCCUAGUCCUAACCCCCAACCAGACCUGCAGCAACACAAGGUAACCUUAACCCCUAGUCUUAACCACUAACUCUAAUCCCCAACCAGACCUGCAGCAACACAAGGUAACCUUAACACCUAGUCCUAACCCCCAACCAGACCUGCAGCAACACAAGGUAACCUUAACACCUAGUCCUAACCCCUAGUCCUAACCCCCAACCAGACCUGCAGCAACACAAGGUAACCUUAACACCUAGUCCUAACCCCCAACCAGACCUGCAGCAACACAAGGUAACCUUAACACGUAGUCCUAACCCCUAGUCCUAACCCCCAACCAGACCUGCAGCAACACAAGGUAACCUUAACCCCUAGUCCUAACCCCCAACCAGACCUGCAGCAACACAAGGUAACCUUAACCCCUAGUCCUAACCACUAACUCUAAUCCCCAACCAGACCUGCAGCAACACAAGGUAACCUUAACCCCUAGUCCUAACCCCCAACCAGACCUGCAGCAAUACAAGGUAACCUUAACCCCUAGUCUUAACCACUAACUCUAAUCCCCAACCAGACCUGCAGCAACACAAGGUAACCUUAACCCCUAGUCUUAACCACUAACUCUAACCCCCAACCAGACCUGCAGCAACACAAGGUAACCUUAACCCCUAGUCCUAACCCCCAACCAGACCUGCAGCAACACAAGGUAACCUUAACCCCUAGUCUUAACCACUAACUCUAAUCCCCAACCAGACCUGCAGCAACACAAGGUAACCUUAACACCUAGUCCUAACCCCUAGUCCUAACCCCCAACCAGACCUGCAGCAACACAAGGUAACCUUAACACCUAGUCCUAACCCCCAACCAGACCUGCAGCAACACAAGGUAACCUUAACCCCUAGUCCUAACCCCCAACCAGACCUGCAGCAACACAAGGUAACCUUAACCCCUAGUCCUAACCCCCAACCAGACCUGCAGCAACACAAGGUAACCUUAACCCCUAGUCCUAACCCCCAACCAGACCUGCAGCAACACAAGGUAACCUUAACCCCUAGUCCUAACCACUAACUCUAAUCCCCAACCAGACCUGCAGCAACACAAGGUAACCUUAACCCCUAGUCUUAACCACUAACUCUAAUCCCCAACCAGACCUGCAGCAACACAAGGUAACCUUAACCCCUAGUCCUAACCACUAACUCUAACCCCCAACCAGACCUGCAGCAACACAAGGUAACCUUAACCCCUAGUCCUAACCCCCAACCAGACCUGCAGCAACACAAGGUAACCUUAACCCCUAGUCUUAACCACUAACUCUAAUCCCCAACCAGACCUGCAGCAACACAAGGUAACCUUAACACCUAGUCCUAACCCCCAACCAGACCUGCAGCAACACAAGGUAACCUUAACACCUAGUCCUAACCCCUAGUCCUAACCCCCAACCAGACCUGCAGCAACACAAGGUAACCUUAACACCUAGUCCUAACCCCCAACCAGACCUGCAGCAACACAAGGUAACCUUAACACGUAGUCCUAACCCCUAGUCCUAACCCCCAACCAGACCUGCAGCAACACAAGGUAACCUUAACCCCUAGUCCUAACCCCCAACCAGACCUGCAGCAACACAAGGUAACCUUAACCCCUAGUCCUAACCACUAACUCUAAUCCCCAACCAGACCUGCAGCAACACAAGGUAACCUUAACCCCUAGUCCUAACCCCCAACCAGACCUGCAGCAAUACAAGGUAACCUUAACCCCUAGUCUUAACCACUAACUCUAAUCCCCAACCAGACCUGCAGCAACACAAGGUAACCUUAACCCCUAGUCUUAACCACUAACUCUAACCCCCAACCAGACCUGCAGCAACACAAGGUAACCUUAACCCCUAGUCCUAACCCCCAACCAGACCUGCAGCAACACAAGGUAACCUUAACCCCUAGUCUUAACCACUAACUCUAAUCCCCAACCAGACCUGCAGCAACACAAGGUAACCUUAACACCUAGUCCUAACCCCUAGUCCUAACCCCCAACCAGACCUGCAGCAACACAAGGUAACCUUAACACCUAGUCCUAACCCCCAACCAGACCUGCAGCAACACAAGGUAACCUUAACCCCUAGUCCUAACCCCCAACCAGACCUGCAGCAACACAAGGUAACCUUAACCCCUAGUCCUAACCCCCAACCAGACCUGCAGCAACACAAGGUAACCUUAACCCCUAGUCCUAACCCCCAACCAGACCUGCAGCAACACAAGGUAACCUUAACCCCUAGUCCUAACCCCCAACCAGACCUGCAGCAACACAAGGUAACCUUAACCCCUAGUCCUAACCCCCAACCAGACCUGCAGCAACACAAGGUAACCUUAACCCCUAGUCUUAACCACUAACUCUAAUCCCCAACCAGACCUGCAGCAACACAAGGUAACCUUAACCCCUAGUCUUAACCACUAACUCUAAUCCCCAACCAGACCUGCAGCAACACAAGGUAACCUUAACCCCUAGUCCUAACCACUAACUCUAAUCCCCAACCAGACCUGCAGCAACAGAAGGUAACCUUAACCCCUAGUCCUAACCCCUAGUCCUAACCCCCAACCAGACCUGCAGCAAUACAAGGUAACCUUAACCCCUAGUCCUAACCCCCAACCAGACCUGCAGCAACACAAGGUAACCUUAACCCCUAGUCUUAACCACUAACUCUAAUCCCCAACCAGACCUGCAGCAACAGAAGGUAACCUUAACCCCUAGUCCUAACCCCCAACCAGACCUGCAGCAACACAAGGUAACCUUAACCCCUAGUCCUAACCCCCAACCAGACCUGCAGCAACACAAGGUAACCUUAACCCCUAGUCCUAACCCCCAACCAGACCUGCAGCAACACAAGGUAACCUUAACCCCUAGUCUUAACCACUAACUCUAAUCCCCAACCAGACCUGCAGCAACACAAGGUAACCUUAACACCUAGUCCUAACCCCUAGUCCUAACCCCCAACCAGACCUGCAGCAACACAAGGUAACCUUAACACCUAGUCCUAACCCCUAGUCCUAACCCCCAACCAGACCUGCAGCAACACAAGGUAACCUUAACCCCUAGUCCUAACCCCCAACCAGACCUGCAGCAACACAAGGUAACCUUAACCCCUAGUCCUAACCCCCAACCAGACCUGCAGCAACACAAGGUAACCUUAACCCCUAGUCCUAACCCCCAACCAGACCUGCAGCAACACAAAGUAACCUUAACCCCUAGUCCUAACCACUAACUCUAAUCCCCAACCAGACCUGCAGCAACACAAGGUAACCUUAACACCUAGUCCUAACCACUAACUCUAAUCCCCAACCAGACCUGCAGCAACACAAGGUAACCUUAACCCCUAGUCCUAACCACUAACUCUAAUCCCCAACCAGACCUGCAGCAACAGAAGGUAACCUUAACCCCUAGUCCUAACCCCCAACCAGACCUGCAGCAAUACAAGGUAACCUUAACCCCUAGUCCUAACCACUAACUCUAAUCCCCAACCAGACCUGCAGCAACACAAGGUAACCUUAACCCCUAGUCUUAACCACUAACUCUAAUCCCCAACCAGACCUGCAGCAACACAAGGUAACCUUAACCCCUAGUCUUAACCACUAACUCUAAUCCCCAACCAGACCUGCAGCAACACAAGGUAACCUUAACCCCUAGUCUUAACCACUAACUCUAAUCCCCAACCAGACCUGCAGCAACACAAGGUAACCUUAACCCCUAGUCUUAACCACUAACUCUAAUCCCCAACCAGACCUGCAGCAACAGAAGGUAACCUUAACCCCUAGUCCUAACCACUAACUCUAAUCCCCAACCAGACCUGCAGCAACACAAGGUAACCUUAACCCCUAGUCUUAACCACUAACUCUAAUCCCCAACCAGACCUGCAGCAACACAAGGUAACCUUAACCCCUAGUCCUAACCCCCAACCAGACCUGCAGCAACACAAGGUAACCUUAACCCCUAGUCCUAACCAC